rnacentral:rRNA from 1 species
GUGAGGAAUAUUGCGCAAUGGAGGCAACUCUGACGCAGCCAUGCCGCGUGCAGGAAGAAGGCGCUACGCGUUGUAAACUGCUUUUAACCGGGAAGAAACCCCAGGACGUGUCCUGGGUUGACGGUACCGGAGGAAUAAGCACCGGCUAACUUCGUGCCAGCAGCCGCGGUAAUACGAAGGGUGCAAGCGUUAUCCGGAUUCAUUGGGUUUAAAGGGUGCGUAGGCGGAGCGUUAAGUCAGUGGUGAAAUCCUGCAGCUUAAAUGUAGACUUGCCAUUGAUACUGGCGCUCUUGAGUGCGCUUGAAGUGGGCGGAAUGUGCCGUGUAGCGGUGAAAUGCUUAGAUAUGGCACAGAACACCAAUUGCGAAGGCAGCUCACUAAGGCGAUACUGACGCUGAGGCACGAAAGCGUGGGGAUCGAACAGGAUUAGAAACCCCUGUAGUCC